CAUCCAUAUCCCGUUGAAACACCAAUUUUCAUAUGAUCACCGAAGUUAAGCAACAUCAAACCUGGUCAGUAUCUAGAUGGGUGAUGACUUGGGAAUACCAGGUGCUGUAA